rnacentral:rRNA from 1 species
GACGAACGCUGGCGGCGUGCCUAAUACAUGCAAGUAGAACGCUGAAGAGAGGAGCUUACUCUUCUUGGAUGAGUUGCGAACGGGUGAGUAACGCGUAGGUAACCUGCCUUGUAGCGGGGGAUAACUAUUGGAGACGAUAGCUAAUACCGCAUAACAAUGGAUGACACAUGUCAUUUAUUUGAAAGGGGCGAUUGCUCCACUACAAGAUGGACCUGCGUUGUAUUAGCUAGUAGGUGAGGUAAUGGCUCACCUAGGCGACGAUACAUAGCCGACCUGAGAGGGUGAUCGGCCACACUGGGACUGAGACACGGCCCAGACUCCUACGGGAGGCAGCAGUAGGGAAUCUUCGGCAAUGGGGGCAACCCUGACCGAGCAACGCCGCGUGAGUGAAGAAGGGUGUCGGAUCGUAAAGCUCUGUUGUAAGUCAAGAACGGGUGUGAGAGUGGAAAGUUCACACUGUGACGGUAGCUUACCAGAAAGGGACGGCUAACUACGUG